rnacentral:tRNA from 1 species
CGGGCAUUUUAUGCGGUAAGGAUACUUGACUUUUAAUCAAGUUGUCCGGGGUUCGAAUCCCCGAUGCUUCA